CCUACGGGGGGCUGCAGUGGGGAAUAUUGGACAAUGGGGGGAACCCUGAUCCAGCCAUGCCGCGUGUGUGAAGAAGGCCCUCGGGUUGUAAAGCACUUUCAGUGAGGAAGAACGCCUGGUGGUUAAUACCCAUCAGGAAAGACAUCACUCACAGAAGAAGCACCGGCUAACUCCGUGCCAGCAGCCGCGGUAAUACGGAGGGUGCGAGCGUUAAUCGGAAUUACUGGGCGUAAAGCGCGCGUAGGUGGCUUGAUAAGCCGGUUGUGAAAGCCCCGGGCUCAACCUGGGAACGGCAUCCGGAACUGUCAGGCUAGAGUGCAGGAGAGGAAGGUAGAAUUCGCGGUGUAGCGGUGAAAUGCGUAGAGAUCGGGAGGAAUACCAGUGGCGAAGGCGGCCUUCUGGACUGACACUGACACUGAGGUGCGAAAGCGUGGGUAGCAAACAGGAUUAGAUACCCCAGUAGUC
rnacentral:rRNA from 1 species